rnacentral:rRNA from 2 species
CCUACGGGCGGCUGCAGUGGGGAAUCUUGGACAAUGGGCGCAAGCCUGAUCCAGCCAUGCCGCGUGAGUGAAGAAGGUCUUCGGAUUGUAAAGCUCUUUUACCAGGGACGAUAAUGACGGUACCUGGAGAAUAAGCCCCGGCAAACUUCGUGCCAGCAGCCGCGGUAAUACGAAGGGGGCUAGCGUUGUUCGGAAUUACUGGGCGUAAAGCGCACGUAGGCGGGCUGUUAAGUCAGGGGUGAAAUCCCGGAGCUCAACUCCGGAACUGCCUUUGAUACUGGUAGUCUAGAGAUCGGAAGAGGUUAGUGGAAUUCCCAGUGUAGAGGUGAAAUUCGUAGAUAUUGGGAAGAACACCAGUGGCGAAGGCGGCUAACUGGUCCGAUACUGACGCUGAGGUGCGAAAGCGUGGGGAGCAAACAGGAUUAGAUACCCCGGUAGUC